rnacentral:rRNA from 1 species
ACGAACGCUGGCGGCGUGGAUAAGGCAUGCAAGUCAAGGGGCCCGCAAGGGCACCGGCGAACGGGGUAGUAACACGUAGAUACCUCCCCUAAAGACGGGGAUAACUCCGCGAAAGCGGGGCUAAUACCCGAUGGUCCCUAGGCGCAAGCCGAUGGGUAAAGGAGUAAUCCACUUUAGGAAGGGUCUGCGGGCUAUCAGCUAGUUGGUAGGGUAAUGGCCUACCAAGGCGAUGACGGCUAGGGGGAGUGAGAGCUCGUUCCCCACCAAUGGCACUGAGACACGGGCCAUACACCUACGGGUGGCAGCAGUCAAGAACCUUCCACAAUGGGCGAAAGCCUGAUGGAGCGACGCCGCGUGCAGGAUGAAGUCCUUCGGGAUGUAAACUGCUUUUGUUUUCGAGGAACGCAAGUGACUGUAGAAGACGAAUAAGGGGUUGCUAAACUCGU